AGAACGAACGCUGGCGGCAUGCCUAACACAUGCAAGUCGAACGAGACCUUCGGGUCUAGUGGCGCACGGGUGCGUAACGCGUGGGAAUCUGCCCUUGGGUUCGGAAUAACAGUUAGAAAUGACUGCUAAUACCGGAUGAUGACGUAAGUCCAAAGAUUUAUCGCCCAAGGAUGAGCCCGCGUAGGAUUAGCUAGUUGGUGAGGUAAAGGCUCACCAAGGCGACGAUCCUUAGCUGGUCUGAGAGGAUGAUCAGCCACACUGGGACUGAGACACGGCCCAGACUCCUACGGGAGGCAGCAGUGGGGAAUAUUGGACAAUGGGCGAAAGCCUGAUCCAGCAAUGCCGCGUGAGUGAUGAAGGCCUUCGGGUUGUAAAGCUCUUUCGCACGCGAGGAUGAUGACGCUAGCGUGAGAAGAAGCCCCGGCUAACUUCGUGCCAGCAGCCGC
rnacentral:rRNA from 1 species